CCUACGUGAGGCAGCAGUGGGGACUAUUGCACAAUGGGGGAAACCCUGAUGCAGCGACGCCGCGUGAGUGAAGAAGCGUUUCGGCGCGUAAAGCUCUGUCAGCGGGGAAGAAACACGGUUCGCGAGAGCCGCGGACGGUACCCGACCAAGAAGCCCCGGCUAACUACGUACCAGCAGCCGCGGUAAUACGUAGGGGGCAAGCGUUAUCCGGUUUCACUGGGUUUAAAGGGUGCUUAGGCGGAAUGCCAAGUCAGCGGUAAAAUCGCGGGGCUCAACCUCGCUCCGCCGUUUAAACUGGCGUGCUUGAGUGGGCGAGAAGGAUGCGGAAUGCGUGGUGGAGCGGUGAAAUGCAUAGAUAUCACGCAGAACUCCGAUUGCGAAGGCAGCAUACCGGCGCCCAACUGACGCUGAAGCACGAAAGCGUGGGUAUCGAACAGGAUUAGAUACCCGAGUAGUC
rnacentral:rRNA from 1 species